AAGCUUCCAGAGCCAGCCACAUACCACUGCAUUGCCUGGCCAGAAGUCAGAAGUAUUCCUGGGCACUUAGCAACACUCUCUAUGGAUCUUCAUGGGCUUGGUAAUUUGCGAUAUCUUGGUUAAGGGGAGGGAAUCACACAGAGAGCUGGGGGAUCAGUGAGCUCUGAGGAUCCCUCUGGCUUAGGAUGUUCUUGUAUUUAGAAGGGUCAGGGGAUCACUUCGAUAUUGGUAUAAUGCAGGGAGUGAUGGUUGUCGAAAUCCCUCCCUUUAUACGUUUGCAGAUCUGUGAAUGAAACCCAGGGUCCCCAUGUGCUAGGCAAGUGCUUUGCCAUCGAGGUACCUCUCCAGCCCCAUGGGUGAUCUUAAUGUGCCACCAAAUAAGAGUGCCAGGUGGCCCAAGGACUUGGUUUAGAACCACUGCACUUUUGGGGAAUAAAAAAGAAGCCCCGAAGAGCAGUCGGGAUAAAUAUGUGUUGGUAGCACUCUCUUCUUCUUAAGCAUUCCCAUAGUGGCCUUGUGCUGGUCUAAGGCCACCAAGCUACCACUUCUCCAGGUUAGAAAGGAAGAGAAAGCCCAGGCUGAAAGCCCUUCGCUCGUAUCGGUGCCUGGUUAGUUGGCAGCUUUUGUAAAAUUGAUGAAUUUUGUGUAAAGGCAAGUGCAGACAGGUAAACAGAUCUGUACCUGCUGUGGUCCAUUUAGCCCGACACCCAUGGCAGGGGAGCUCGUUCACCUCGGUUCCUUCAGGACUGAUGGAAAAGGAAAUGAGGACCAAGUCAGGCACUGCACGUAUUGGAAAAGAAGGAGCCGGUCUAGUGGUGGGAGUUAAUUAAUGCUUCCCUCCCCGGAAGCGGACUGACCCUCGUCCUUAGGCAUCCGAGUCAAUAAACAAUUGUUGUUUACAGGCCAUCCAUUAGAAGGUGAGGCAGGAGUGUUUUUAAGCAAAUCUGAAAUUGCCAGGGGUGACCUAAUCCUGCUUUGGUAAUGGCAGUAUGAAGGAAUCAUUUUUCAUACUGUCUCAUUUAUAAGAAGUUCCAGGCCAUCUGCCG
rnacentral:lncRNA from 1 species